AAAGAGGUCCCAAGCGUUGUUCGGAUUCAAUGGGCGUAAAGGGUGCGUAGGUGGCGAAGUAAGUCGGAUGUGAAAUCUCCGAGCUCAACUCGGAAACUGCAUUGGAAACUACUGUGCUUGAGGGCUGGAGGGGAGGCUAGAAUACUUGGUGUAGCAGUGAAAUGCGUAGAUAUCAAGUGGAACACCAAAGGCGAAGGCGGGUCCCUAGACCACAACUGACGCUGAGCCGCGAAAGUUAGGGGAGCAAACAG
rnacentral:rRNA from 1 species